UCUUCCUUCAGGCCCCUGGCUACAUAGACAAAGGCUCUGAGCACUGGAGGGGAAGCGAGUGUACCAGUUAUUGGUACAGCCAGGACCAAACCUGGGUGUCCUGGGAGUCUUAGCUCAGGGUUCCCACCACCACCAGCCUCCGGCUGCCUCCAAUAACCAUCAAACAGCAGCCAAGGUACCAUCCACUUCGCAGUCACUGCUGGACCAGAGCUUGCCUCUUGGGAUGCUCCAGAGCUGGAAGGAGACCUUGGAGCUCAUGCGGCUUCCUGCAUGGGUUUCCAUAGAGAAUGUGACACACGACUGUGAAGACCAUUUUGUUUUCUAGAGCUCUGUUUCCUCUAACUCCAUCCCCAUUCAGUCUGUGAAAAUUGCCCAAUGGAAACCCCACAUUCUGCUCUUAUCAGUGGCCGUUGUAAGUGUGGCUGUCACAAAAUAUGGCUGUCGUAAGGGCAGGAGAACUCCAGGUGAGGUGACAAGAAUCAAGCACAGGUGCUUGGGUUUCGAACUCUCAGAAAGAGUCUUCGCCCUGGGCACAUUUCAGAGAGCAGAUGCCUCACUUGUGAACAUCUUGCACAUCGAAACUGCUGACAAAAAUGUUUUUUGCUUCUGCACUUUUUGUUAUAAGCAUAUAGUGAACCACCUAUAUUUAGCAUAAAUGGGCGUUUGUGAGUGGUCUUGGGAAUCUAAAUAUAAUGUAUUUCGUUUCUAAAUUACAAACAACCAACUUACAAGGGGAAUUUUGGUCUUUAGCCUAUUUAUGAAAUCAGGCACUUUCUGAACUAAAAAAGAGGAGGAAAGGAAUGAGCAUUUAUUGAAUGUUCA
rnacentral:lncRNA from 1 species